CAUUCGAUCGAGUCCCAUUACCUAAUCUCUGAAGAUUAUAUAACUGCUUCAAUGUUAAUUGAAUGGCUAUGAUUUUAUCGCCCUCUUUUAUCCAACCCAAUUUUCUCAAACUUCAAUGUUCCUUGGCAUCAAUAACAUCCAAAUUAUCUUUAUUUGUCCAUUGAACCGAAGGCUCUGAAUCUAGUUUCUCGAUUUUUCGAAGGAGAACGCGUGAUAAAGAAACAACGAAAAUGGCAUUAACUGUGGCAUUUGAAAGUUUUUAUGGAUUCGUGAAGCUAUAUCCCCAUUACAAAAAAGCUUCAGGAGAUGCAUAUGAAAGAAACUUAUACCAUUUCCCAAAAACAAAUUGAUCUGCAUGACAAACCUGGAGAUAAUCGAUUCAUUUAAAGAGAAGGCUGAUUUCUAAUCUUAUUUUUGCGAGCGUUCAUUUCUUAUUUUAAAAUUUUCAAUUAUUUUUAAUA